rnacentral:rRNA from 1 species
UUUUCAUCAGACAAUCUGUGUGAGCACUGCAAAGUACGCUUCUUUAAGGUAAGGAGGUGAUCCAACCGCAGGUUCCCCUACGGUUACCUUGUUACGACUUCACCCCAGUCAUGAAUCACAAAGUGGUAAGCGCCCUCCCGAAGGUUAAGCUACCUACUUCUUUUGCAACCCACUCCCAUGGUGUGACGGGCGGUGUGUACAAGGCCCGGGAACGUAUUCACCGUGGCAUUCUGAUCCACGAUUACUAGCGAUUCCGACUUCAUGGAGUCGAGUUGCAGACUCCAAUCCGGACUACGACGCACUUUAUGAGGUCCGCUUGCUCUCGCGAGGUCGCUUCUCUUUGUAUGCGCCAUUGUAGCACGUGUGUAGCCCUGGUCGUAAGGNNNNNNNNNNNNNNNNNNNNCCUUCCUCCAGUUUAUCACUGGCAGUCUCCUUUGAGUUCCCGGCCGGACCGCUGGCAACAAAGGAUAAGGGUUGCGCUCGUUGCGGGACUUAACCCAACAUUUCACAACACGAGCUGACGACAGCCAUGCAGCACCUGUCUCACGGUUCCCGAAGGCACAUUCUCAUCUCUGAAAACUUCCGUGGAUGUCAAGACCAGGUAAGGUUCUUCGCGUUGCAUCGAAUUAAACCACAUGCUCCACCGCUUGUGCGGGCCCCCGUCAAUUCAUUUGAGUUUUAACCUUGCGGCCGUACUCCCCAGGCGGUCUACUUAACGCGUUAGCUCCGGAAGCCACGCCUCAAGGGCACAACCUCCAAGUAGACAUCGUUUACGGCGUGGACUACCAGGGUAUCUAAUCCUGUUUGCUCCCCACGCUUUCGCACCUGAGCGUCAGUCUUUGUCCAGGGGGCCGCCUUCGCCACCGGUAUUCCUCCAGAUCUCUACGCAUUUCACCGCUACACCUGGAAUUCUACCCCCCUCUACAAGACUCAAGCCUGCCAGUUUCGAAUGCAGUUCCCAGGUUGAGCCCGGGGAUUUCACAUCCGACUUGACAGACCGCCUGCGUGCGCUUUACGCCCAGUAAUUCCGAUUAACGCUUGCACCCUCCGUAUUACCGCGGCUGCUGGCACGGAGUUAGCCGGUGCUUCUUCUGCGGGUAACGUCAAUUGCUGCGGUUAUUAACCACAACACCUUCCUCCCCGCUGAAAGUACUUUACAACCCGAAGGCCUUCUUCAUACACGCGGCAUGGCUGCAUCAGGCUUGCGCCCAUUGUGCAAUAUUCCCCACUGCUGCCUCCCGUAGGAGUCUGGACCGUGUCUCAGUUCCAGUGUGGCUGGUCAUCCUCUCAGACCAGCUAGGGAUCGUCGCCUUGGUGAGCCGUUACCUCACCAACAAGCUAAUCCCAUCUGGGCACAUCUGAUGGCAAGAGGCCCGAAGGUCCCCCUCUUUGGUCUUGCGACGUUAUGCGGUAUUAGCCACCGUUUCCAGUAGUUAUCCCCCUCCAUCAGGCAGUUUCCCAGACAUUACUCACCCGUCCGCCACUCGUCAGCAAAGCAGCNNNNNNNNNNNNNNNNNNNNCCCGUCCGCCACUCGUCAGCAAAGCAGCAAGCUGCUUCCUGUUACCGUUCGACUUGCAUGUGUUAGGCCUGCCGCCAGCGUUCAAUCUGAGCCAUGAUCAAACUCUUCAAUUUAAAAGUUUGAUGCUCAAUGAAUUAAACUUCGUAAUGAAUUACGUGUUCACUCUUGAGACUUGGUAUUCAUUUUUCGUC